ACGGGAGGCAGCAGUGAGGAAUAUUGGUCAAUGGGCGAGAGCCUGAACCAGCCAAGUCGCGUGAAGGAUGAAGGUUCUAUGGAUUGUAAACUUCUUUUGUUCGAGGGUAAAGUGAGUCACGUGUGGCUUAUUGCAAGUAUCGAACGAAUAAGCAUCGGCUAACUCCGUGCCAGCAGCCGCGGUAAUACGGAGGAUGCGAGCGUUAUCCGGAUUUAUUGGGUUUAAAGGGUGCGUAGGCUGUGCGACAAGUCAGGGGUGAAAGCCCGCCGCCCAACGGUGGAACUGCCUUUGAUACUGUCGCGCUGGAAUACGGAUGCCGUGGGAGGAAUGAGUAGUGUAGCGGUGAAAUGCAUAGAUAUUACUCAGAACACCGAUUGCGAAGGCAUCUCACGAAUCCGUCAUUGACGCUGAGGCACGAAAGCGUGGGGAUCAAACAGGAUUAGAUACCCUGGUA
rnacentral:rRNA from 1 species